rnacentral:tRNA from 1 species
GGUGGCUCAGUGGCAGAGUGCUUGCCUUGUAUGCAAGAGGCCCUGGGUUCAAUUCCUCAGCACCA